ensembl:lncRNA
UAAAGAGCCAUUUGCGAGGGAGAAAAAAAGAGGAAGAUGAUAUCAGAGAUGGGGAGAAGGAAGCUGCCCUUCUGUCUUUGUAUAAAAAAAAAGGAAGAAAUACUUGCAUUUUCUUACGGGCCGAUUCGUGUUGGAGAGGAAACUGCAACAACUGGCACCCAACGUAUCCAUUAGAACUCAACUAACCUGAGAUAAAAGUUUACUUCCCUCUCACCCCCAGAAUAGGGCUCUGAUAGAGAUCUAGGCAGGAGUACUGGUGGAUUAGAAGUUGAAGACUGGGUCUGAGGGGUCUAGGAAGAAUCGAGAGGACUGCACGUGUUCUGAAGCGGAGGGAGAAAAAGGACAAGCGAUUGUGGAGAGAUCUAAUCGAAGUCUAAAGGAG